rnacentral:lncRNA from 1 species
CUAUGUUAACAAACUGGUAGUUGCCUGAGUUGCAAGCAUCUACUAGGGUUCCUUCGUUGCCGUUUUGUCCCCAAUACGUUGCGAUUCCGGCGGCUUGAGAGGACUUGCAUGAAGAAAUGAGAAUCAAGAGGAACAGCGUUAGGGCUAGGGUUUGUGUUUUGGUUGCCAUUUUGUAUGUGUUUUUUUUGUUGUUGCUCAAAGUGCUUGGGAGGGUACAUGUAUUUAUAGGUGCAGGGGACUUGUCGGUGAAGGUUUAGGGGAAGAGAAGUAUGACAGACGUGUCUUGCAGGUACAAAAUGGAUGCCAGUCUUCUGCUUGGAUCCGCGUCAACCAAGUUAGGGCCUGUUUAGUCCAAGUUUCACUUCACAACUUAGAAAUUUGUGAAUUAAGUUAGGUCGUGUUGCACGUUCUUUUUUCAAAAACCACUCAUAAGCGCUCUUAAUAUUUUUCGUAAGAAUGCAAGUGUUUUUAGAAAAAACACUCGAGAUGCUUAGCGUGUGAUUUUUCUAGAAAGCACUUUUAAGUGUUUUUUCAACCUAAAACACUUCAAAACCCUUUUAGUUGUUUUAAAGACACUUCCAACAGACACAAAAUGAAAAAUUACUUCCAAAGAGAAAUAUAGCAUGCUAUUUGAGAGAUUCCUAAACUAAAUAGCUAUUAAGCGUGACCUUAACCACUUAAUUAGGUGAAAUAAAAUAUCAAAUUUGACAAACAAUCUGAUGAACGCCAUAGCUAUAUGUUUAGUCAGUGGAUGAGAUAAUCAUGAAACAAUACGUGGAGAAUCAACACAGCCUUAUCAUCGCCAAAAAAUUUCAGCAUGCCAGAAACACGACCUGGUACAAUACUCUUGGUACCUCAAUUGUUGUCUUUAUUCCUGCAGAACCACAUGAGUGAGAUGUUUGCUUACCAUGCAACCAUGAUGUCCAAUACUCUUGGUACCUCAAUCGUUGUCUUUACCAAAACUGGUUUUAUGGCUUAUUCUAUUGAUCCAUUACCGACCUACGUAUACCGUGACCAUAUUUGCCUUUACGAAUGAAUGAGUUUUCAUGUUACCUCUCACAAAGGCAUUAGUUAAAAUUUUAACUGUAUCAGUUAUAUAGUACGCUGUGCAAGUUCUAUUCAUUAGCAAGUACUUUGAUUGUCAUGCAGUAAGAGCAUACAACGGAGAUUGGCUUUGUAUCAAGGCGUAUGUCCCAUAUACAUGGAGUUCCCAGAAGAUUCUGAAACAAGCUUUAGCAAUGCCUUGACUGUGCUGAAGGUGUUUUGCUGCAUAUUUCCUAAAUUUAUGGCGACGUAUGCUAUUCAACCAUGUCAGCACUGAUGGUGCAUUUUCUGGUGUUUUGUUUACAGGAGCAAGGAUUGGUAAAGGCAGGAGAAGAGGUCGCACUCGUUCAAAGUGGCAGGCAACCCAUUUGGCGGCUCCAACCCACUCACAACAUUCAAGUGCGAAAGUUUAGGUGCAACGUAGAUGGAAAACUCGUAGCUUUUGUGUUGUACUUCCAGUUGAAUGUCGUGAUAGUUUCUGAUGAAAUUGGGUUCCACCAUAAAACCAAUUGGCAAUAUGGGGAGUAGCCAAAGAUCAUAUAAGCACAUAGUAAACCUUGUCCCUCAUCAAUGUGGGACAACUCUCAACAUACCCCCGCACGUGUGACGGAAUUUCAAUCCUACACGUGGACAACAACUGGAUGACGUAGAGUGCGUGUGGCCGUUGGGCUUCACACGUGGACAACCUUGCUCUGAUACUAUGAUGAAAUUGGAGUUCCACCAUAAAACCAAUUAGCAAUAUGAGGAGUAGCCCAAGAUCAUAUAAACAUAUAAUAAACCUUGUCCCUCACCAAUGUGUGACAACUCUCAACUCCAAUGUGGGACAACUCUCAACAGUUUCUUGCUUUGGUUGUUUAAUUUUACUUCUGUUGCACACUUUUGUGGUCCUAUCUGCUUCUUUUUGUAUCCCUCUUUCCCCCUAAUUAGUUUGGGUGUAUGUUUUAGAACAGUAAGUUGUUUCAGUAUAAAUUUGGCAGUUUGAAUGAAAUGUCUUAACUUUUUACUCAAACUGUCUAAUUUUUUUUAAUUGUUUGAUUGAGGAGACAGAUUGUCACCUUAUAAUAUCCGCAGCAUAUACCGUUUGUCGCGUGGCCGUUGAACAUUGACUAGGUUAGGAUUAAGAUUGAGAGAGUCUGGUGCUUUUGUGAAUGUUAUUUUAUAGAUAGCGUGAUUAUACAGAUGGCAAAGCGCUUGAACUGGACUCGACAGAAUGAGGUAUUUAUUAACUAAGGUCAAAAGUCAAGCAAAAAUUGUUGAUAGGGACUUCAUAAACAAAAUUAAACAACAUUCGUUUGUAUAAUUAUCAAACCGACAAUAUCUUAGGGUGCUAUCCACACAUUCUUUUUUAUCUUUUGCACACUCCUCUCAAUUUUUAACUGCUAAAUCAAAUGAAUUGAAGAAUAUCAAAUAACAAAAAUUAACAGAGAAUGUGUGAAAGAUAAAACUGAGUGUAUAGAUAGCAUCACCCUAUCUUAUUAAGAUAAUGACAUCCUAUUUAUUUGAUAUAAUCUUUUAGGGACUAACCAAAACAUUGAGUUGCAAAAGUCAAACUCUUCCGAUGAUGGAAGAACUAAAUCCACUUUUAUCAUCACAAAACUUAACAUCACACCACCAUACUUCGACGACUUCUUUAUCACCAGUAGAAUUUCCGAAUUCAGCGAAGCAGCCGGAAUAUACCCACUUACGGCCGCUCAGGAGCCGCCGGCAACCCCAAAAACAUCUUUCUCAUACAAUGAUGUCACUUGGCGUCUUAACAAGGUGGGAGACUUUGGGAGGACUUUAUUGGGUAUUUCCAAGUACUCGGUACUCUAUGUAUUUUAACCAUUAGAUCUUUGUUUAGAAAUAUAAAAAUCAAAAUCUAACGGUUAAAACAUCCAAUGUACCAGUAGUACUGCUCAAAUUUUUUUGAGACAUUGAAUGCAAUCCCUCCAAAAAAUUAAUAGGUUAUACAGUAGUACCACUUCAACCGUGAUACUUUCAUUCAAAGGCUAGUUUUAUACUAAUAUGUGAUGCUUUCAUUCCAUAUUUGAGAGGGCCUUUGAAUAAGUAUAAAGCUAGCCUUUACAAUAUGAGCUAGCUAGCCUCCAUACACACAGUGCCUGCCAAUCAUGUAAAACCAUAGACAAUGAUACAAGACAAUUUAUUUGGACCUAUAAUUUCUUUUCAUAACUACAUCACAUCGCCCUUUAUGUAAAACUAUAUUUUAUUCAAUUUCAAAAAUUAGUACAUGCAAUAACAUGUUUUAUCAUAAAAAAUACGAUAAAUUUCAGGCCUCGUUUGGCAGCUCAGACUGUACUGACUAUUUCUGUCGGAUAGGAUAAAUAGUCAUCGGAUAGUACUGACUAAAUUAGUCGGGCGUUUGGUGCAGUAUCGGACUAAUGACUGUAUUAUUUAUACUGUGUUUGGUAUUAUACCGGAUAGAAGGAAUCAAACUUAAAAUAAAAUUAAAAAAAAAAUUAAAAUCAUCUCUCUUGUUCCAUAUCUCUCCGCCGCACCCCCCCAAACUCCCUCCCUUUCUAUCCCUUCCUCUUCUUCCCCGUCUGCUCCCCUGAACUAAACCCCACCACAAAGGCAGCAACAAGAAACCCAUCUUUCAAAUUCUCAUCGUUUUUUUCCCAAUCCUUAUUUUUUUUUAGCUACAAAUCAACCCAGCAAAAAAACACACCACAAACCAAGAAAAUUCACACAAAGGACUUUGUUUUCUAUUAGUCCUAAAAAACAAUUGGAAGGAAAUUCACGGAGGACACCUUUUUUUCAACAAACCAAGAACACUCAUCGGAGAGAAAAAUGGGGCUGACUGUGAUUUUGGGCAUUAGGUUGGGGAAAAGCAUUGACAAAAUUCGAUUUGGAGGAGGGGAAGAGCUGAGUGACGCCUCCAGUUGGCGAAUUCCUCAGCUUCCAUCCGCCCCUUUCUAUAUAUCCCUGUGGAAUAUGUUGUUUCGCUACUGGUCUCCUUUUGUCUCUCUCUCACUCUCUUCUUUGUUCCUCUGUGUGCUUUCCGUCGGACGAGACGGGAAAUUAGUCGGCGAAUGACUGCAGAGGAGUGGCGCCCGGGGUGGAGAACUCGUCGAGGAACUACUCGAAGGCCCACUUUGAGAAGUCGUUAACGGCGGCUUUGUGAAGUUGGAGAGGACAGCGCCCUGACUAAUUAUCCCGAGCUUUUGGGCUGUUUUAAUAGUACGUUGUCAACCGUAUAAAAUUUGAUGGGCCGGAUAAUUAAGCGGGUGCUUAUUUAGUACGAGAGUGCACCAAACAACAGCUCCUGUAUUACUUAUCCUAUCCGAUGCUUUAUACGGCGUGCCAAACGAGGUGAGCGUGUAUUAGAAAUACGGGAUGGUAAAUCACAUAUUAUUAUAUAAGUGAAAAAAAGUUUUAUUUUUUUAAGUGUGCCUCCACUUAUAUAAUAUAUUGUACUACCCAAAUUCUGAAUAAGUAAAAGAUCUCUCCGAAAAAUACAUAUGCAUGUUUUAUUCAAAAGGUAAGGAAUGAUGCGUCAUCAUCCCUAAUACACUUUAUUAUAGUAGUAGCAUCAAUUGAGGCAGAGAAGUUAAUUAGAUGCUGUCCUUAAUGGAUGCACUAUAACCGUUGUCAUAGAACCUGUUCCAAAGCAUAACUCCUCCGUACUUGGGCGAAUUCUUAAUCGUUGGAAGAACUUGUGACUUGAGAGCGUCAGCAGGAAUAAAUCCGCCGCUCGGAGCGGCCUCAGGAGCUGCCGGUAACCCCAUGAACACCUGGGUGGCCGGAACCGAGGCCCAUUGGUUCCAACUGCUCAAAAGAGCGUCGGCAUUACCGUCCGCAUACUGGCAUUGGGGGUUGUUGUAGAACUGGACCCAAACGUAGUCAAAUAAACCGGUUUGGAUAGCGCCGUCUAGGUGAGCAUCCGGGAUCGGACAUUGUGGAGCUGCGGCUAAAUAGACCGUUUUUGCCUGUCCGUUGUGUCCGUUGAGUGACUUGGCGAGCUCAUCAUAGAACUGCGCACCACCCGCCUCAAUGUCGAAAUCAACGCCGUCCAAAACCGCGUCCCCAAGCGGGCGCGAAGCUGACUGACCACCUAAGAAGUUGUUCCAGAUGUAAUCAGCAACUUGCCUUGCAUCAUCAGCUGAAGUGAGAGAGUAACUUCCGGCGGCCCCUCCAAUCGAGAGGAGGACUUUUAUGUUUUUUGAUUGGCAGGUUCUGAUGUCGGCACUCAGCCCGGUGCAAGUACCACUAGCGGGGUCGCAGUGGCCGGCGAGGUUUAGGACAGGGGUUUGGUUGUUUCCGAAAGUAGUGAGGAAAGCUAUGUUAACAAACUGGUAGUUGCCUGAGUUGCAAGCAUCUGCUAGGGUUCCUUCGUUUCCGUUUUGGCCCCAAUAGACCGCAAUUCCGGCGGCUUGGGAGGACUUGCAUGAAGAAAUGAGGAUCAAGAGGGACAGCGUUAGGGCUAGGGUUUGUGUUUUGGAUGCCAUUUUUAUAUGUUUUUUUGGGUUGUUGUUCAAAGUGCUUGGGAGUGGACAUGUACUUAUAGGUGCAGGGGACUUAUCGGUUAAGGUUUAGGGGAAGAAAAGUAUGACAGACGUGUUCUGCAGGUAAGAGUCUUCUGCUUGCAACCGCGUCAAUCACGUUAGGGCCUGUUUAUUUAGUCCAAGUUUCACUUUACAACUUAGAACACGUCAAUUAAAUUAGGUCGGGUUGAAAAUGCAUUUUCCAAAACCACUUUCACACAUAAGCGCUUCUUAUAUUUUCAUAAAAAUGCAAGUGGUUUUAUAAAAAAAAAAACUUGAGGUGUUUGGCGUGUGUUUUUUCAGAAAGCACUUAAAAUAUUUUUUCAACCUAAAAUCACUGAAUUUUUUAUGAUUUCAAAGUUCUUUUAAUUGUUUUGAAGGCACUUCCAACUGAUAUUUUAUAAAAAAUUACUUCUAGAGAGAAUUAUAGCAUGCUAAUUGAGAGAUUCCGAAACUAAAAAGCCAUCAAAUUUGCCAAAAAAAAAAUCUGAUGAGACAAUACGUGGAGAAUCAACACAGCUGUAUCAUCACCAAAAAUUUUCAGUGUGCAGAAAUACAGUCCGGUACAAAGUGUUAUAAUAAAAUUGGUUGAUUUUUUUUUUUAAGUUUCCAACUAAUUAUAUUAUUACACUUGAUGUACCGAUCCGUAUUUCUGAAAAAUCUCUCCUUACCAUCACAUCACAUGAAUGUUUUGGAAAGUUCGUAGAUAGAAACCAAAAUCUCUCCUUAUCAUCACAUCACAUCACAUGAACGUUUGGGAAGCUCGUCGAUAGAAACCAAAUGGAAUAUGCUUUUAGCUGAGGAUGGCCAUUGGCCAGGGACUUCGGUCUAAUCACGAUGCUUUAAUUUCGCAGUCGGAAAAAAACUUUCGAAUAAAAUUUAGGGUAUAUUUAGGAAGUGUUUUUAAAUGAUUGAAAACAUUUUUAGAAAUAUUUUUUUUUAAAAACGUUUCCAGUCAUUUAAAAAAACUUCUUAAACGAGUUUAAUUACUUGUGUAUGGGGCAACAUUUAGCUAGUAAUGGUUCUCAUGAAUUGGAUUGUGGUGAUGUGAAAAUGGGUUUGGGUUAGUUUAGUUUAGAGUUUAUAUUUACUAUCCGGUGCAUGCAAAUGGAAUGUCAAAUCUUUCAGAGAAAUUUUGAUAGAACUGCCACUUAGGGCAACACAUAUUAAACAAACAAAUGUAGGGUUGGAGAAGACUAAAAUACAUGAAUUCUCGUGUUUUCAUAAAUGUGAUCUAAAAAUAAUAUAGCAUGUGCCCUGAGAACAACGUGAUCAGUACCUAAUCGAAGUUCUCUAGUGUGGAAAGAUUCAAGAGGGGUGUGACGCUUCCGACAAAUAAAAAAUCACACAUUUUCGAAUUCGGAAAUGUAUAGAACAGAGCAGAUAUCACUAGAUGAAUGUUAACUGUUUUACAGAAAAUUUAUAAGACAAUUAGAGUUAAACAACAGAAGCUUGCACUUUAAAUGGUUAUGUCCAGCUGCUUUUGGUAUGUAUAUGCUUUUUCCAUGUCUCGAUGUAGUUCCAGUUCACUGCUCAUCAUCCUGGAACAAUGCUUUCGAAACAGAGCCGCACGGCUGGCUACUGUAUUCUCGGUAAUCUUCAUCGUCAUCACAGCUGCGUUGCGAGCAUGAACGUUUGAUUCCUGUCAUUGGGGUUUCACAGACUCUGUCAUCGCAUGAACCUCUAUGAUCCUUCCUUUUAAACAGCUUUCGAAGCGGAUUUGACUUUGGUUUCAAUGGUUUCAGCCGUUUGGGGGCCCAAACUCUCUGCAGAUCGGGCAUCCAUCUUGUGGAUGAAGCGAAUCUCCAAGCCCUCUCUCUCCUCUCUUGAGCUUCAAGUAACUUGCGAGCAUGGUCGUCCUAUUGUUUGAUCUCUUCGACGCUUGGUCUUCCAAUAUCAGUUUUCAGCGGACGAAGAGACUCACCUUCUGCUUGUAAUGAGUCCCAGAUUCUAUAACUUCCAUCCACUUCGACACUCUUCGGUUUUUCUUUACAGGAUCGAUUGCUAUCCUCACUGUUGAGUAAACUAUUAGGGAGUUCUUCCUCAUCAGCAAACAGUAACAAAUCCAUUUUCGUAUAGAUUUUGUGAACCACAUCUUCAAGUGUCUCACAGUACCUGAAAAAUGUCCAAAUUCAGGCUCUUGACAAUUUGACAAAGCAUUUCAUUGAAAAGGUUCAAUCCUUACUACCAUUAUAAUUUAUAAUGUGUUGUAUGGUUUACCUCGUAAUGGUGCUAAGUUAUUUCUACAGUUUUGGGGCAUUUUUUUUGCAGUUUCGGUGCAAUUUUGAUGCAGUUCUUUUUUUUUGCAAUUUUGCUGCAUUGUUGUUGCUGUUUUUGCUGCAUGUUCAUUGAUUAAUAAAAAGGUCGUACCCAGUGCACAAGGCUCCCUUGAUUAAUAUAUGAGAAAAAUAAGACUGUCAUAUGCUUAAAUAGGUGUAUAUUUUAAAUUAUACAUUUUUUUUUCAAAAAUCGAACCGAAACUGUUUGAAACCGUACCGCACCAAACCAAACGGUUUGGUUUCAUUUCAGUUUUGGCUUCAAAACUGCACCGAACCGCACCGCAAAAAAAUUUGGUUUCGGUUGCGGUUUCACUCGAAACCGCACCGAAGCGCACCGCGCCCACCCCUACAGGGGACUUGUCGAUGAAGGUUUAGGGGAAGAGAAGUAUGACAGACGUGUCUUGCGGGUACAAAAUGGGUGCCAGUCUUCUGCAUGCAUGGAACCGCGUGAACCAAGUUAGGGCCUGUUUAGUCCAAGUUUCACUUGACAACUUAGAAAUUUGUCAAUUAAGUUAGGUCGUGUUGGAAAUUCUUUUUUCAAAAACCACUCAUAAGUGCUUUUAAUAUUUUUCGUAAGAAUGCAAGCGUUUUUAGAAAACACACUCAAGGUGCUUAGCGUGUGCUUUUUUUUAGAAAGCACUUUUAAGUGUUUUUUCAACCUAAAAACACUUGUUUUAAAGACACUUCCAACAAACACAUAAUUAAUGGAAAAUUACUUCCAGAGAGAAAUAUAGCAUGCUAUUUGAGAGAUUCCAAAACUAAAAGCUAAAUAGUUAUUAAGCGUGACCUUAACCAAGGUGAAAUAAAAUAUCAAAUUUGACAAACAAUCUGAUGAACGUCAUAGCUAUAUGUAUAGUCAGUAGAUGAGAUAAUCAUGAAACAAAACGUGGAGAAUCAACACAGCCUUAUCAUGGCCAAAAUUUGUCUGUGUGCCAGAACCACGGCCUAGUACACUAAAAGUGUCAUAAUAGAAUUGGUUGGAAAUUCAUUCGGUUACAACUGACUCUGAAGUCUUUAUUUCUGCACAACCACAUAGUGAGAUGUUUGCUUACCAUGCAACCAUGAUGUCCAAUACUCUUGGUACCUCAAUCGUUGUCUUUACCAAAACUGGUUUUAUGGCUAUUCUAUUGAGCCAUUACCGACCUACCGGGAUCAUAUUUGCCUUCACGAAUGAGUGAGUUUUCAAUUUACCUGUCACAAAGGCAUUUAGUUAAAAUUUGUAACUGUAUCAGUCAAAAUAUGCUGUGAAAGUUCUAUUCAUUAGCAAGUACUUUGAUUGCCAUGCAGUAAGAGCAUACAACGGAGAUUGGCUUUGUAUCAAGGCGUAUGUCCAAUAUAUACAUGGAGUUCACAGAAGAUUCUGAAACAAGCUUUAGCAAUGCCUUGACUGUGCUGAAGGUGAUGUUUUGCUGCAGAUUUCCUAAAUUUAUGGCGACGUAUGCUAUUCAACCAUGCCAGCACUGAUGGUUCAUUUUCUGUUGUUCUGUUUGCAGGAGCAAGGAUUGGUAAAGGCAGGAGAAGAGGUCGCACUCGUUCAAAGUGGCAGGCAACCCAUUUGGCGGCUCCAAUCCACUCACAAAAUUCAAGUGCGCAAAAUUUAGGUGCAACGGAGAUGGAAUAAUCGCCCUCGUAACAUAGAUUUCUUCGUCUACACUACAAAAGUUUCAAAUGAUAGCUUUUGUGUUGUACUUCCAGCGGAAUUGUCGUGAUACUUUCUUCCUUUGGUUGUUUUUUUUCUUCUGUUGCACACUUUUGUGAUCCUAUCAAUGUGCUUCUUUUUGUUUCCGAUUUCCCCCUAGUUAAUUUUGGCGUAUGUUUUAGAACUGUAAGUUGUUAAAGUAUAAAUUUGGCAGUUUGAAUGCAAACUGUCUAAAUUUUUUUAAUAGUUCGAUUGAGGAAACAGAUCGUCACACUCACAUUCUAAUAUCCGCCGCUUACCGUUUGUCGUGUGGCCGUUUAACACUGACUAAGGUAGAUCUCACAUCAGAUCAGCACGGGACUAGGUUCCGUGCUCUUGUGAAAGUUAUUCUACGUACGACGUGAUUCUACACAUGGUUUGUGGUUUGGGCUUGAACCGGUCUCUACGAAAUGAGGCAGAUUUUUUGUUUAUUAACAAAGGUCAAAAGUCAAACAAAAAUUGUUGAUACAGACUAUCUUAAACAAAAUUAAACAACAUUCGCUUGAAUAAUUAUCAAAUUGACAAUGUCUCAUAGGUGAUGCUGUCCAUACACUCUUUUUAUUUUUCACUCACUCCUCCCAAUUUUUAACCGUCAGAUCGAAUAAAUUAAAGAUGAUCAAAAGACAAAAAUUAACUGAAGAUAUGUGAAAGAAAAAACAAAAUGUAUAUAUAGCAUCACCUAUCUUAUUAGGAUAAUGACAUCCGAUUUAUUUGAUAUAAUCUUUUAGGGAAACCAAAACGUUGAGUUACAAAAGUCAAACUCUUCCGAUGAUGGAAUAACUAUAUCCAUUUUUAUCAUCACAAAACUCGGACCCUAACAUCACACCACCAUACUUCGACGACUUCUUUAUCACCAGUAGAAUUUCCGAAUUCAGCAAAGCAGCCACAAUAUACCCACUUCUGGCCACCUCAGGAGUGGCCGGCAACCCCAAAAACAUCUUCCCUUUCUAAUACAUUAAUGAUGUCAGUUGGCGUCUUAACAAGAUGGGAGACUUUGGAGUCGCUUUAUUGGGAUCUCCCGAGUACUCGGUACUCUAUGUAUUUUAACCGUUAAAUCUUUGUUUAAAAAUAUAAAAAUCAAAUUCUAACAGUUAAAAUAUUCAAAAUAUCCAUAGUACCGCUCGAAAUUUUUUGAGACAUUAAAUGCAAUCCCUCCAAGAAAUCAUCUCAAAUUUUUUUGAGACAUUAAAUGCGAUCUCUCCAAGAAAUUAUUAGAUUAUACCGUAGUACCAUCUCAGCCGUGGUAGUUUCAUCCAAAGGCUAGCCUUUACAAUAUGAGCUAGCCAGCCUUCAUGCACACAGUGCCUGCCAAUCAUGUAAAACCAUUGACAAUGAUACAUGACAAUUUAUUUGGACCUAUAACUUCAUUUCAUAACUACAUCAGAUAACCGUUUAUGUGCAACUAUAUUUUAUUCAAUUUCAAAAAUUAGCAUAUGCAAUGACAUGUUUUAUCGUAAAAAGUACAAGAAAUUUUCAACGUAUCACAAAUACAAAGUGUUAUACCACAUGUCAUUAUAUAAAGAGAAAUUUUUUAUAUUUUAAGUCUGUCUCCACUUAUAUAAUAUGUGUUGUACCAUCCGAAUUCCGGAUCAGUAAAAGAUCUCUCCAAAAAUACAUAUGCAUGUUUUAUUCAAAAGGUUAGGAAUGAUGCGUCAUCAUCCCUAACGCACUUUAUUAUAAGUAGUAUCAUCCAUUGAGGCAGAGAAGUUAAUUAGAUGCUGUCCUUAAUGGAUGCACUAUAGCCGUUGACAAUGUCAUACUGCCUGCCCCAGAGCAUAAUUCCUCCGUACUUGGGCGAUUUCUUAAUCGUUGGAAGAACUUGUGACUUGAGAGCGUCAGCAGGAAUAAAUCCGCCGCCCGGAGCGGCCUCAGGAGCUGCCGGUAUACCCAAGAACACCUGGGUGGCCGGAACCGAGGCCCAUUGGUUCCAACUGCUCAAAAGAGCGUCGGCAUUACCGUCUGCAUACUGGCAUGGGGGGUUGUUGUAGAACUGAACCCAAACGUAGUCAAAUAAACCGGUUUGGAUAGCGCCGUCUAGGUGAGCAUCCGGGAUCGGACAUUGUGGAGCUGCGGCUAAAUAGACCGUUUUUGCCUGUCCGUUGUGUCCGUUGAGUGACCUGGCGAGCUCAUCAUAGAACUGCGCACCACCCGCCUCAAUGUCGAAAUCAACGCCGUCCAAAACCGCGUCCCCAAGCGGGCGCGAAGCGGACUGACCACCUAAGAAGUUGUUCCAGAUGUAAUCAGCAACUUGCCUUGCAUCAUCAGCUGAAGUGAGAGAGUAACUUCCGGCGGCCCCUCCAAUCGAGAGGAGGACUUUUAUGUUUUUUGAUUGGCAGGUUCUGAUGUCGGCACUCAGCCCCGUGCAAGUACCACUAGAGGGGUCGCAGUGGCCGGCGAGGUUUAGGACAGGGGUUUGGUUGUUUCCGAAAGUAGUGAGGAAAGCUAUGUUAACAAACUGGUAGUUGCCUGAGUUGCAAGCAUCUGCUAGGGUUCCUUCAUUGCCGUUUUGGCCCCAAUACGUCGCGAUUCCGGCGGCUUGGGAGGACUUGCAUGAAGAAAUGAGGAUCAAGAGGGACAGCGUUAGGGCUAGGGUUUGUGUUUUGGAUGCCAUUUUUGUAUGUUUUUUUGGGUUGUUGUUCAAAGUGCUUGGGAGUGGACUUGUACUUAUAGGUGCAGGGGACUUAUCCGUUAAGGUUUAGGGGAAGAAAAGUAUGACAGACGUGUUCUGCGGGUUAGAAAUGGGUGCCAGUCUUCAGCUUGGAACCUCGUCAAUCAAGUUAGCUAGGGCCUGUUUAGUCCAAGAAGUUUCACAUAAAACGCCGAUUAAGUUAGGUCGGGUUGGAAAUGCUUUCUUCAAAAACUACUUACACACGUAAGCGCUUCUUAUAUUUUUCAUAAGAAUGCAAGUGCUUUUGAAAAAAAACACUUGAGCUGUUUCGUGUGUUUUUUUCAGAAAAUACUUUAAAUGUUUUUUCAAACUAAAAAUCCAUUAAAGCUCCUUUACUUGUUUAAGGGCACUUCCAAAAUCAUAUUUAAAGAAAAAUUACUUCUAGAGAGAAUUAUAACAUGCUAAUUGAGAGAUCCCGAAACUAGAAACUAGAUAGUUAUAAUGAAGCGUGACCUUAACUGCUUAAUUAAGUGAAAAAAGCCAUCAAAUUUGACAAAAAGUCUGAUGAAAGGUCAUAGCUGUAUCAUCUGUAGAUGAGAUAAUCAUGAAACAAUGUGGGGAAUCAACACAUCCUUAUCAUCGUCAAAAAAAAAAAUUCACUGUGCUGGAAGCACGUUCAAUUGAACGUUUUGGAAGUUUGUGGAUAGAAACCAAAUGGAAUAUGCUUGUAACCAAAAUUGCUGGCUGCUAUAUACAUCUUGGAUUUUAGCUGAGGUGGCCAUUGGCCAAGGACUUUGGUCUAAUCACGAUGCUUUAAUUUCGCAAUCCAAAAAAAAAAUUCAGAUAAAAUUUAGAACACGUUUUGGGAGUGCUUUCAAAUUACUGAAAGCGAUUUUAGAAAGAAAAAAAAUGUUUAUAUAACUAAUCUUUAAUAAAAAUGCAAGUUAAUCCUCCAAAAGUACUGAAACUAGUGCUUCUUUGAUAAAACACUUCAAGUGCUUUUGGAGCUCAAAAAUAUUAUCUCAAGUGGUUUCAGUCAUUUAAAAACACUUUCUAAACGAGUUAAUGACUCGUGUAUGGGGCAACAUUUAGCAAGUAACGGCUCUCAUGAAUUGGAUUGUGGUGAUGUGAAAAUGGGUUUGGGUAAGUUUAGUUUAGACCAGUCAGCAGUGUUUAAAAUAUCCACGACAUUAUCGAUAUUUUCGUUGAAAUAUCCUUAAAAUUAAGGGUCCAUAAGCAAAAGAAGGAUGAAAUGCAAACUUCACCCUAUAUCGGCAAGAUACAAGAAAACAAUGAAUAUAGACAAUAUGUAACAACUCGUCCCAAGAUUUACUGUAUAUAAAUGGUAUUUUUGUAUUUUCAUCAAGUUUGGGAAUUUAUCUUCCUUUUAAAAUUUGUUUUUGGUCUUAAAUGGUGAUCCAAGGGGACCCACUCCCCUGAUUUUGUCCCCGAGCCCUCUUCUCUCUUUCUUCCUCUCCUCUUCCCUUUCCCCUUUCCCGUAUACUUCUAUUCCUCUCUUCUCUAUGAUCACACUCACACCCAGCUGCACUCCCUGCUCGAGGAAGACGCAAUCACCAUCUAAACCACGUCCCUUUCCUCUUCCUCUUGCCUCUGUGCAACUCGGCGAAACCAAGAAAAUAACCUCCGGCAAGUCCGACGGCUUUCGAAGCCAUUUCCUGCCAAACCACGGCGCGUUGGCCGGCGUGCAAGGUAUCAAUCUCUUCGUCCCGUCAAGUACUAUAACUUUUCUUUUUGUUUCACUCAAUUUAAUUGAGUAUUGAAGAAGUUAUACUCAUUUGAAUCUUACCCAGUUUCCGGCGACCUCCGAGGCUUUCGAGGAAAUUUCAGGCCAAACCAUGGCGAGUCAGACGUGAGGUAUCAUUCUCUUCGUCUCUUCCAGGACUACAACUUUCGUUUUUGUCUCGCUUGAUUUCGUUGAGUAGUGACAAAGUUAUGGCUGUUUAAAGUGGGGUGGUUUUCCGGCCGAAUUUCCGGCCUUCUUCUUCCUUGGCAACAGGCCACCCGGCCUUUCCCUCUCCCUCGGACCUUAGGCCCGUGUUGUCUUAAGCCCAAAACCCUAGCCUUUAGUUUUAAGUUUUAUUAUUUGGUUUUAAAACCCUAAAAAGGGCCUUGGGCCGGUGGUUUUUAAAAAGGGCUUAAAGCCCUGUUUUUCUUUAUUUAUUUUUAUUAAGGCCUUAAGGCCUUGUGAUUUUGUGCCCGUGGGUGUGUGUGUUAGGUGUGUAUGUGUUUAUGCAUGCACAUGCAUGCCGUGUGUGUGUGUGUAUUUGUAGUAUGUGUGUGUUUGGGCUAAAGCCCAAACCCCAAUUCUCACCCUAAAACCAUUUUAACCCAAAAUCCUAGGUUCCUAAAAUCCUUUAAAACCCUAAACCCAUCCAAUCCCAAAUCCCCUAUUUUAUUUAAACCUAAACCCUAAUCCGGAUUUCAAGCCUAAAACCCAUUUGACCGUUGACCCCCGGUCAACGUUGAUUUUAGGGUUGACUUUUCGGGUUUUCGUCCGGGACCCUUCUUAGGGUAAUUCGACGUUCUAAAUCCGUUUCCAAUGUCCAUUUUCCCAAAUUCAAUUGUUAUUAUAUAGUUUUAUUUAUUGGACUCUUUAUGUGCUUAGGGGCAAUUAUUGUGACGUUUCCAUCUUCGCUAGUGGCACAGCUUUUGGCAACUAAGUAUUGUGAGUGGACCCCUUCUAGAAUUACAUGAUUUGAUAAUUUAAUUGCAUAAAUGAUUAGCAUGCCUACGAAUUUAUGAUUUGAUUUAUGUGAAGCCUGAUGAUUUAAUAUAUUGAUUAUCGUCUCGGGUUUUGGUGAGGAAUUAUUUGUUAGCCUAUAUUGAGCUAUAUUUUAAUAUAUCGUAUUUUCUAUUAAAACCAUGAACUGGUAGACUAUCUGAUAGAUGACGAUAGGAUGCUAGAACAUGUUUUUGAACCCCUCUUUAUAGUGUAGACGAUGAUCGGUAACCUAUGCUAUGAAGUGGUUUUUUUUAGAGAGACGUAACUAUUUGUGCGUACCUAGUAGACACUAUGCCGCCUGGGGCAAGGAACUGGUGUUGGCAUUUAGGCCGGGAGAAAUAAUCCCUAGCGAAAGGCUGAGGGACACGGAGACAGGCAGUGGGCCAAGAGGGAGUUAUCUCUGGCUACGGGCACAGAGACUGAGGUGCAAGCAUUGGGCCGGGAGUUAUAUUUAUUCAGUGAUCUUUCUAGCAGCACACUGCGUUUACGAGACGAUUUAUGAUGCGUUUACUGUUUUGAUUUCCGCGAUGUUUUUCCGCGUUAUGGCGUUUGAGAUAUUUUUGGCAUACUAGGAUUUUUAUUAAAUCCAUCACUUAUUAUGCUAGUAGUUUUCAUUUAUAUAAACUUUGGGGGUUAGUAUGUUGAUAAUUGUUUUAUUAUUAUUGUAUAUAUAAACUUGGUCCACUCACCUUUGUUUUGCGCCCCCAUUCAGGACUUAGAAUCAAGGCACCUAAUCCCGGCGUGAAGACACUUUCGCAGCAGCAUCUUCGGAUCCUCUCGAUGUAGGACUCACUCCUUUACUCAUUAAAUUUUAUCUUAAUUCUUUUUAGUGAUUAGAUUUAGUUGUAUGCUCUGAGCACGUUCCUAAAACUUUUAACUCUUAGUUUUUAAAUUCAUAACACUUACUUAUUUCUUAUUCUUAGCUUUUGUAUCAAUUAAUGGCUUUCGUCACCCUCGGGUGUCGGCCAGCAUGUGUCUUCCUGGUAUUCGGGGAAUAUCAGGGUCGGGGCGUGUCACAAUAUUUACGGAUUAAUUACAAAAUUUUGCUAAUACCUAUUGCAGAUUUCGAACUGUAGAAUUUUUUUUAUAAAUUUUUUCUUUAAUUUCAACUAAAUCUGAAUGAGUACUUACCCCAUUGUAAAUUUCCAUCGAAGACUUUCCAACUAUAUCGAUAUUUUAAACACUGGUUUAGACCAACAUGUUUAAUAUCCAGUGCAUGCAAAUAGAAUGUCAAAUCUUUUUGAAAAACUUCAGUAUGACUGCCACUUAAGGGCAACUAGCAUAUUAAAGAGACCAAUGCAAAGUUGGAUGAGACUAAAAUACAUAAAGUCUCAUGUUUUGGUGAGAUGUGGUUUACAAAUGAUAUAGCAUGUGCCCUACGAAAAACGAGAUCGGAUUACCUAAUUGAAGUUUCUCUAGCAUGAAAAAUUCAAGAGGGAUGUGACGGUUCCGGAAAGUAAAAAAUCACACAUUUUUAUUAAUAAUUUUUUUGUUCGAAUUCGGAAAUGUAUAGAACUGAACAAAUGGAAUAGUGGCUCAGUGAUACCAACAAUUUCAUGUUGCAAAUUACAAAAAAAAAAAAAAAAAAAAAAAAAAAAGGAAAUGUUUUACACAAAAUUAAUGACAAUUAGAGUUAAACAACAGAAACUUGCACUUUAAAUGGUUUUUUUCUGCUGCUUUUGGUAUGUAUAUGCUUUUUCCGCACCGCUGGCUACUGUAUUCUCGGUAAUUUUCAUCGUCAUCCCAGCUGCGUUGCGAGCAUGAACGUUUGAUUCCUGUCAUUGGGGUUUCACAUACUCUGUCAUCACAUGAACCUCCAUGAUCCUUCCUUUUAAACAGCUUUCGAAGUGGAUUUGACUUUGGUUUCAAUGGUUUCAGCUGUUUUGGGGCCCAAAUUCUCUGCAGAUCGGGCAUCCAUCUUGUGGAGUAAGCGAACCUCCGAGCCCUCUCUCUCCUCUCUUGAACUUCAAGUAACUUGCGAGCAUGGUCGUCCUUUUGUUUGAUCUCUUCAGCGCUCGGUCUUCCAAUAUCAGUUUUCAGCGGACGAAGAGACUCACCUACUGCUGGUAAUGAAUCCCAGAUUCUAUAACUUCCAUCCACUUCGACACUCUUCGGUUUUUCUUUACAGGAUCGAUUGCUAUCCUAACUGUUGAGUAAACUAUUAGGGAGUUCUUCCUCAUCAGCAAACAGCAACAAAUCCAUUUUCUUAUAGAUUUUGCGAACCACAUCUUCAAGUGUCUCACAGUACCUGAAAAAUUCCAAAUUCAAAGAUUAAUCUAUCUGCUUAAGUUAAUUUUCCAUCUCAAACAAAAAUUGAUUGCCCGCACAUGUACUUCCGGAAAACUAAUUCCAGGAACGGAUUAUUUAAGCAACAUCGUUUCUUCAAGGAUCAUACUGUAGACAUACACUAUUGGCACAUUGCAAAAGUUGUAUAAACAUAUUCCACACUCGUUCAGAAAAACAUGGGUACGAUGUGCGCAUAACUGGCCUAUAUCCUGUCAAUCUACACUGAUAAGGAAAGACACUUUAACUCAUCUAAGAUUAUAAAGACAACCACUUUCCUUAUUUAGCAUUGUUGCAAAGGUAAGUAGGACAUGAUUUGUUAGAUAGGUAGUAAUAUCCCACAUGAAAGUGGAACACAGUGGCACCGGAAAUGUGUAUUUGUUGAGACAUGAACGAUAGACUGAAUGCAGCGUGUGCUAUAUAGCCUUUCAGCGAAAGCCAUAAUGCCUCAGUAAAACAUCCAUUAUAUAAAGUAAAGAAUAAUUUCAAGGGUAGGGGUUUUCAACUGUGGUACAGAUUUAUUACCUGCUUUUUAUGAUCUUUUCAACAUAAUCAUACACUCCAGUCACCAAAGAAGCCCUCCAGAUGACAUCGAAUUUUCUCCAAAAAGGAGCAAAUCUGUUUUACAGACUUCUGUUUUGUAGAUUCAGCAAUACGUGCACCAACCUCUGAUUGUAGUAUCUCCAUCCGGAAAAAUAUCUGCAAUUCAUAUCGUGCACGAGCUGGCGCAAGGAGGCGGCGAAGCACGAAGCCCGGGGCGGCGAUGCCGGGUCGAGGCGAAAUGCGGGGAGGGAAUUGAGGGUUUGGGAGAGGGAAUUGAAAGUGGGGCCGGGGAGGUGGAAAGAGAGGGAGAGAGAAGUGGGGAGCUUGGAGGAGGAGAGCAGCGGAGAGAGGGAGGAGAAGAAGGGUCUGAAGGCGAAGAGAGAGGCGGAGAGAGGAGGGAAAGAGAGGAUGGUUUUGACGGCGGCGAGGAAGGCUGUGAGAAAUGGAGCUGGGUUUUGGAGGUGGAGGAGUGGGUUGAGGCCUAGGAGGAGGACGAUGCGCUGCGUUUUGCCGUAGUCGGCGAUUGGGUCGCCGGAGCUCCGUUCAGAUGCCAUCGCAUUUGCAGGAGGAGAAAGAGACGGACUUGGGUUGCAGAGAAGGGAGAUGCAAAUGUGGAAUUAAGGAACAGUAAACCGAAUACGCAGUCGUUUUAGUAGAAAAACGACGAUACGGUAGAUGCUUGAGCGGGAAACCAAAUUUUGGCUGUAAAGGAAAUGUUUUAGGCCCCGUUUGGGAUUGAGGUGAUUUUAAAAAAAGCCACUGUGAAAAAAAGCUGAGGGUCAUUUUUGUGUUUGGUAAACUGAAAAAAGGGCUUAUUUUGGAAGCUGCUGUGAAAAUAAGCUGAAAAUCAAAGGAAAAGCUGAAGCUGCUAUUUGCUGCUUUGAAAAAAAGCCAGUUUUUUCAAAGCACACAGAGCUACAAUGCUCCUUUAAUGAAAAGACACACUAUCAUCCUGAUUUUUUUUCCAAAAGCACUUUCACAAAAAAGUUUACCAAACACUCUACUGCUUUAUUUCACAGCCGCUUAUUCUCACAGCACAGCCGCUUAUUCUCACAGCAGCUUUUUUUCAAAGCACAGCAAUACCAAACCAGCCCUUAAUCUCAUGAAGGACCUGUUUGGACUGCAUCUAAAUUUGUUAAAAGCGCUUUUAGAGAACAAAAGAGCUUUUGACAUCAGUUGAAAAAAAAAAAAUAUUUAAAGUACUUCUUCACGUGAAAAAAACACAUGGUUUUUAAUGAAAAUUCCAACAUGAUUUGAAUGAAAGUGCUUUCAAAAAGUAUUAUGAAUAGAUAUGCUUUUUUAUAUGCUUCUAUGAAAAGUGCUUUUUGCAAACAAUGUCGGGCUCGUUUGUAAUUACUUUUAAAAUGGUUGAAAGUGUAUUUCGUAAAAAUAUUUUUAGAAACAAUAUUUAGUAAAAUGCAAGUGAAUCCUAAAAAAAACACUUCAAGAAUAGAACAACCAAAGGGGCGAAAACUGUAAACCUCAUAGCAACCGAAUUACAAUUCGAGAACAUACCCGUUACUGAAUCCCAAAUCGCUGGUUCCCAAGUGUAGUCAUGCACAAGCUCGUUUAGAACCAAUAUUUUCUCUAAGAACGAUUUCAAUCAUUUGAAAAACAUUUUUAAACGAACUGAUGUUUUUAGGAGAAACACAAUGAGGAGCAAAUGAUUCCUAGGCGAGAAGAAAAACUAGACAGAAUGUUAAAUAGCACAUUAUGUACCAAUUUUUCUUCAACAAAUUGGAACUACUGAGAAGUUUGGAAACUAAAAAGUAAAGAUUGAUUCUAAGGAUUCUAACCCUGAUGAUUGCUUAUACAGUCGAACUACUUGAAUAGACUGGACUACCGAAGAUAAACUCAUACAUAUACGAAUUAUUAAAAAGUGAAAGAGGCUCAUCUCAGUUUUUUUUUUUUUUUUUAGUUGAAAGAAAAAAAAGGUAAAACAUGGAGAAGAUCAUGAACAGUAAUGGGUUUUAGUAUAUAUAAAUAUAAUUUGUAACUGUAUCUGUCCAAAUAUGCCGUGCAAGUUCUAUUCAUUAGCAGGUACUUUGAUUGCCAUGCAGUAAGAGCAUACAACGGAGAUUGGCUUUGUAUCAAGGCGUACGUCCCAUACACCUCUUUUAUGGGUGAUGCUGUCCACACACUUCUUUUAAUUACCAGUCGUCAUAUAGAAUGAAUUCAAGAGGAUCAAAUGACUAAAAUUAACAGAGAAUAUGUAAAAGAUAAACCAGAGUGUAUGGAUAACACCACCCUAUCUUAUUAGGAUAAUAACAUCCGAUGUGUUUGAUAUAAUCUUUUAGGGACUAACCAAAACAUUGAGUUACAAAAGUCAAACACUUCCGAUGAUGGAAGAACUAUAUCCACUUCUAUCGUCACAAAACUUGGACAAUAACAUCACACCACCAUACUUUGACGACUUCUUUAUCACCGGCAGAAUUUCCGAAUUCAACAAAGCAGCCGGAACAUACCCACUCUUGGCCGCCUUAGGAGCCGCCAGCAACCCCAAAAACAUCUUCCCUGUCUAAUACAAUGAUGUCACUUGGCGUCUUAACAAGAUGGGAGACUUUGGAGGGACUUUAUUGAGUACUCCAGAGUACUCAGUACUCUCAUUUGUUUAAAAAUAUAAAAAUCAAAAUCUAACGAUUAAAACAUCUAGAGUAUCCAUAUAUAGUACUGCUCAAAACUUUUUGAGACAUUGGACGUGAUCCCUCCUAGAAAUUAUUAAGUUAUACAGUAGUACACUUCAGCCGUGAUACUUUCAUUCAAAGGCUAGCUUUAUACUAAUAUGUGAUACUUUCAUUCCAUAUUUGAGAGCCAUUGGAUAAGUAUAAAGCUAACCUUUACAAUAUGAGCUAGUUAGUUAGCCUUCACACACACAGUGCCUGCCUAUCAUGUAACCAUUGACAAUGAUACCCGACAAUUUAUUUGGAGAGAGGGUCCUCACUCAUUUAUUUGGACCUAUAACUUCAUUUCAUAAUAACUCCAUCACAUCAUUUUAUGUACCAUAGUUUAUUCAAUUUCAAAAAUUAGUACACGCAAUAACAUGUUUUAUCGUAAAAUAUACGAGGUUUUUUAGUAUAUUAGAAAUACGAGAUGAUGCACCACAUGUCAUUAUAUAAAUGAAGAGAAAUUUUUUUUUUUUUUAAAUGUGCCUCCACUUAUAUAAUGUAUUGUACCACCCAAAUUCUGAAUAAGUGAAAGAUCUCUCCAAAAAAUACAUAUGCAUGUUUUAUUCAAAAGGUAAGGAAUGAUGCGUCAUCAUCCCUAACACACUUUAUUAUAGUAGUAGCAUCAAUUGAGGCAGAGAAGUUAAUUAGAUGCUGUCCUUAAUGGAUGCACUAUAACCGUUGUCAUAGAACCUGCUCCAAAGCAUAACUCCUCCGUACUUGGGCGAAUUCUUAAUCGUUGGAAGAACUUGUGACUUGAGAGCGUCAGCAGGAAUAAAUCCGCCGCUUGGAGCGGCCUCAGGAGCUGCCGGUAACCCCAUGAACACCUGGGUGGCCGGAACCGAGGCCCAUUGGUUCCAACUGCUUAAAAGAGCGUCGGCAUUACCGUCUGCAUACUGGCAUGGGGGGUUGUUGUAGAACUGAACCCAAACGUAGUCAAAUAAACCGGUUUGGAUAGCGGCGUCCAGGUGAGCAUCCGGGAUCGGACAUUGUGGAGCUGCGGCUAAAUAGACCGUUUUUGCCUGUGCGUUGUGUCCGUUGAGUGACCUGGCGAGCUCAUCAUAGAACUGCGCACCACCCGCCUCAAUGUCGAAAUCAACGCCGUCCAAAACCGCGUCCCCAAGCGGGCGCGAAGCGGACUGACCACCUAAGAAGUUGUUCCAGAUGUAAUCAGCAACUUGCCUUGCAUCAUCAGCUGAAGUGAGAGAGUAACUUCCGGCGCCCCCUCCAAUCGAGAGGAGGACUUUUAUGUUUUUUGAUUGGCAGGUUCUGAUGUCAGCACUCAGCCCCGUGCAAGUACCACUAGGGGGGUCGCAGUGGCCGGCGAGGUUUAGGACAGGGGUUUGGUUGUUUCCGAAAGUAGUGAGGAAAGCUAUGUUAACAAACUGGUAGUUGCCUGAGUUGCAAGCAUCUGCUAGGGUUCCUUCGUUGCCGUUUUGGCCCCAAUAGAUCGCAAUUCCGGCGGCUUGGGAGGACUUGCAUGAAGAAAUGAGGAUCAAGAGGGACAGAGUUAGGGUUAGGGUUUGUGUUUUGGAUGCCAUUUUUGUAUGUGUUUUUUUGGGUUGUUGCUCAAAGUGCUUGGGAGGGGACAUGUACUUAUAGGUGGAGACUUACUGGUUAAGGUUUAGGGGAAGAAAAAUAUGACACACGAGUUCUGCUUGUAAGAAAUGGAUGCCAGUCUUCUGCUUGUCAAUCAAGUUAGCUAGGGCCUGUUUGGUCGAAGUUUCACAUGAAACGUCGAUUAAGUUAGGUCGGGUUGGAAAUGCUUUCUUCAAAAACCACUUACACACGUAAGCUCUUCUUAUAUUUUUCAUAAUAAUGCAAGUGCUUUUGGAAAAAACACGAGAGGUGUUUCGCAUGUGUUUUUUUCAAAAAGCACUUCAAAUAUUUUUUCUACCUAAAAAUCCAUUAAAGCUCCUUUACUUGUUUUAAAGAAACUUCCAAAAUAAUAUUUAAAGAAAAAUUACUUCUAGAGAGAAUUAUAACAUGCUAAUUGAGAGAUCCCGAAACUAGAAACUAGAUGGUUAUAGUGAAGCGUGACCUUAACUGCUUAAUUAGGUGAAAAAAGCCAUCAAAUUUGACAAAAAGUCUGAUGAAAGGUCAUAGCUGUAUGCAUAAUCCGUAGAUGAGAUAAUCAUGAAACAAUACGUGGGGAAUCAACACAGCCUUAUCAUCGUCAAAAAAUUUUAGUGUUCUAGAAACACGAUCUGAUAUACAAAAUGUUUUAACAUCAAUUGAACGUUUUGGAAAUUUGUGGAUAGAAACCAAAUGGAAUAUGCUUGCUAGCUGCUAUAUACAUCUUGGAUUUUAGCUGAGGUGGCCAUUGGCCAAGGACUGCGAUCUAAUCACGAUGCUUUAAUUUCGCAGUACGAAAAAAAUUUCAGAUAAAAUUUAGAACAUGUUUAGGGAGUGCUUUCAAAUCACUGAAAGCGAUUUUAGAAAGAAAAAAAAUGUUUAUACAACUAAUUUUUAAUAAAAAUGCAAGUUAAUUCUCUAAAAGUAUUGAAAUUAGUGCUUCUUUGAUGAAUUACUUUAAGUGCUUUUGGAGCUCAAAAAUAUUUUCUCAAGUGGUUUCAGUUAUUUAAAAACACUUUCUAAACGAGUUAAUGACUCGUGUAUGGCAACAUUUAGCAAGUAAUAGCUCUCAUGAAUUGGAUUGUGGUGAUGUGAAAAUGGGUUUGGGUAAGUUUAGUUUAGAUCAGUCACCAGUGUAUAAAAUAUCCAUGAAAUUGUCGAUAUUUUCAUCAAAAUAUCCUUAAAAUUUAGGGUCCAUAAGGAAAAGAAGGGUAAAAUAUAAAUUUCAACCUAUAUUGGCGAGAUAUAAGAAAACAAUGAAUAUCGACAAUAUUUACCAAUUAACUACAAAAUGUUGCUAAAACCUAUUGCAGAUUUUGAACUUUAGAAUUUUUUUUUUAUAAAUUUUUUCUUUAAUUUCGACUAAAUCUGAAUGAGUUGAUACUUGAUAUGCUUAUCCCAUUGUAAAUUUCCAUCAAAGACUUUCCAACUAAAUCGAUAUUUUAAACAUUGGUUUAGACCCACAUGUUUAAUAUCCAGUGCAUGCAAAUAGAAUGUCAAAUCUUUCAGAAAAACUUCAGUAGGACUGCCACUUAAGGGCAACUAGCAUAUUAAAGAGACCAAUGCAAGGUUGGAUGAGACUAAAAUACAUAAGAGCAAUUCCACCGGGGACCAAAUGUCCCAGCCUCCAGUCCAAAAACCAAGCCAGGCCUCUGUCAAUCAAGUCCACCCCAACAAACUGACUGGUACCCAGCCCGAGUUGGGCAAGAGCCCAGCCCAAAAGAGACUGAGACAGAAGCCGGGGAAGAAGCCUGGCGCGUGCACUUCACGUAGCCGUUUGGCGAGUGCCCGACAAGCUUUCAGACGCCGGGGCCCGCGUGCAGGCGCUGUCAGUCCCCCCCCCGAGUUGCGACGUGGCUACCUCUCUGCCGUUGGAUUUCCAACGGCUAGUUUUCUAGACCGUUGGAUUUCCAACGGUAAAAAAAUUUUAAAUUUUACUUUUAAACUAGACCGUCGGAUCAAAGAUCAACGGUCCACGUUUUUUUCACAAAAAGUAAAUUAAAAAAAAAAAAAAAGGGCCCAACGGUCAGAAAUAUGACCGUUGGCCACGUGGCAACUCCCUAGCUCUUGGAUUUGAAUAUUUUUCAAAUCCAACGGUCCAGAUUAAUUAACUAUAUUAAAAUUCAUUAAAAAUUAUUAAAAAAUACAGAAAAAUUAUUAAAAAAUACAGAAAAUUUUAAAAAAAUUACAGAAAAUUUUGAAAAAUGUUAAUUUUUUUUCCUAUAAAUACCUAACCCUCAUCUUCUACCUUUACACCACAUUCCAAUAUUUUCUACACUUUCUAUACUAUCUACAUUUCAAAAUAUUUUCUACACUUUAAGAGAAAAAAAAUGUCUUCGUGGAAGCUCAUUGAAGAUGUUACGUUGUGUGAAUGUUGGGUUCACACUACUCAUGAUCCGAUUACGGGUAAUGAGAUGGAUAAGCGAGAGAUGUGGAGUAAAAUUACGAAAGCGUUUUGUGAUGUACAUGGAGAAAACGCCAGAACUAGUCAAGGUCUUCAAGGUCGUUGGAAAAAACUCAAUGCAUCAUUUACUUGUUGGAAAAACGCCAUCUCUCAUGCUUCCGGUAACCUCCGUAGUGGGACAAGUUUAGCGGAUCAGGUGACAAUAUUUUUUAUUUAUUUAUAUGCAUUCCACUCACAUUAAUAUUUUGAUUUAUUUAAUUUCGUAUGUAAUUUUUAUCUUAUUUCUUAUGUAAUUUUUAUUUAAUUUCUUAUGUAAUUUUUAUUUAAUUUCUUAUGUCAUUUUUAUGUAAUUUAUAUGCAUUCCACCCGUAUUAAUAUUUUGAAUUUAUUUAUUUGUGUUACACCCGCAUUUUUUAACACUAUGUUAUCCCACUUUUUUAUAGACACUACAAGCUCAAGCAUUCUACAAUUCAAAGAACGGGAACAAAUCAUUCAAUAGAUUGGAAUGUUGGCAAAUUGUCAAAGAUUGCCCUAAAUACAAAAUUGUGGCAACUGGUCCAGAAGUUGUCAUGCACGGUAUGGGUCUACAUAGUUCUCCAGAACCAGACAUGGCCGAACAAGAAGCCGACACAUUUCAAGACACGGAAGGGACGGCUGAACAAGUGCCCGAGACCCAACCGACUCGUCAGUCCCUAAGGCCUCUAGGUAAAAAGGCGUCAAAGAAAAAAGGUAGUUCUUCCAAAAAAUGACUACACUAAAUAUAUGGAGGAACUUGCUCGCCAAGGUGAACUAAACUUGGCACGAGAAAAGGCUAGAGAUGAGGAAAAAGUUGCUGCUAUGGCAGCAAUAUUAGCAGCUACUGAGGCCCGUGAUGCGGCGGCUGAAAGACAAAGAGAAGUAGUUAAUCGAGAGAACGAGCUGGUUAGAGAAGCACUUCAUCGAGAAAAUGAAUUGCUUCGAGAAGAAAGGAUGGCUCAAGCAUCGUGAUCGUGACACUAUGAGCAAGUCUCUAGUAGGACUGUCUCCGAAUUCUAAAUAUUUUUUAGACAUCGGAAAAAGAGAUGCCAUGCGUAGGAGGCGUGCAAGAGAUGCGGAAACAAGUCAAGGGGGUUCUAGCUACACAAAUCAUGGCAACCAAGAUCCUAGCACCACAUAUCCUAACUCGAGAGACUUUAUUUAAUUUCUUAUGUAUUUUUAUGUAUUUUCUUUCUUUUUUCUAGUAGAACUUUAUUUAAUUUCUUAUGUUUUUUCUUUUUUUUAGGUUUGAACUUUAUUUAUUUUCUUAUGCAAUUUUAAUGUAAUUAUUUAUUUAAUUUCUUUUGUACUUUAUUUAAAACACAUGAAAUAAGAUUACACAUAAACUCACCAAAUAAAUUUAAAAACAAAACACAUUACAUAGAAUUACAUAAACUCACCAAAUAAACUUAAAAACAAAACACACUACAUAGAAUUACAUAAACUCACCAAAUAAACUUAAAAACAAAACACACUACAUAGAAUUACUUAAACUUAAAAAAAAAUACAAUUUAUUCUUCAACCACAAGCCUCAUUCUAAUUAUCUUCGCCUCCAUGCAAUCCCCACUGGUGCUCAAUCAAGUCAUUCUGGCGGGUUACGUGCCAGUAUGGCUCUUGCACAUUAGUGUACCGCUGAACGAUCAAUUCAUUGUAACGUCCAUCACGUUCCAACGGCUCGUGUUGCACUGGAUCUUCGGUCCCAUCAUGAGCACAAUAAAUACGUGUUCUUGAGUUGUUCAUCGGAUCUGGCUCAUAUUCAUCGACGGCAUCAUAAUCAUACUCAUCUUCAACAAUCAUGUUAUGGAGAAUAAUACACGUCAUCAUGAUGGAUCGAAGAGCCUCGACAUCAAACAUUCUAGCUGCAGCCCUGACAAUCGCCCAACGAGCUUGCAGGAUACCAAAACAACGCUCGACAUCCUUCCUACACCCUUCUUGACAUUUUGCAAAGUGUUUUUCCUUUUCAGUCUGUGGAUGUGGCACUGUUUUGACAAAUGUUGACCACCUUGGGUAAAUGCCAUCUGCAAGGUAGUAUGAUCCCUCGUAUUGGGUACCAUUAACCCAAUAUGUGCAUCUCGGCGAGUUUCCUUGCAGCAGUUCGUCGAACACUGGGGAUUGGGCAAGGACAUUUAGGUCAUUUUGAGCUCCUGGAACACCAAAAAAAGCAUGCCAAAUCCAUGUAUCAAAUGAAGCCACCGCUUCCAAAAUGAUGCUUUUGGCUCCUUUUCUGUCGCCAUAUGCUCCUUGCCACGCACUUGGACAGUUUUUUCCAAGUCCAGUGCAUGCAGUCGAUGCUUCCAAUCAUGCCAGGGAAGCCUCGCAUCUCACCCUUCCUCAGAAGCCUUCGCAUGUCCCUUGACGUGGGUGUCCGGAGGUACUCUUUGGUGUAGAGGGCUUCAAUUGCAGAGCAAAACCGCAUCAGGGACUCCAGAACAGUUGUUUUUCCCAUCCUCGCGAUCUCAUCCACUUGAUCUGCAGAUGCUCCAUAUGCAAGCAUUCGCAAGGAUGCCGUAAUUUUUUGCUCGGGAAUAAGACCUAGAACAUGAAAAGCAUCCUCUUUUUGCACAAAGUAUGAAUCAUUGUUGCAAAUAUCACUCAUGAUUUUGUUGAACAAAUGUCGUUGCAUUCUAAAACGCCGUCUAAACAUGAUCAGGGAAUAUGCUAUUGGGAAUAAAAUAGUCUUCCAAUAGAUUUUUACCUCGUUUUUCCCUUUUUCUAUCGAGGUUUGCAACACGUCUUGGUUUGGCUAUCUGACCCACGGCUUCCAUGACACGGCGGGAAUGUGAGGCCUUCUGCCUUCUAUGGUGAUCAUCCUCAUCCUCCUCCAUGAAGAAAGCCUCAUCUCCACCUCCACCUUCCUCGAGAUUGGCCAAUUCUGCCUGUUGUGCCAACAACCUUUGUUGUUGCUCUUGCAACUGCUUAUACACCCUUCUUGAAGAAGACAUUGUAAUAAGAACUCAAGAUUUGAAAAUGAUGAACAAGGAUUCUGAGCUAAAAAGAAGGAUUGAGCUUGGUGUGAGGAUGGAUGUAGGGAUGUAGGGUUUAUAUGGACAAAAAAAGAAAGGAUGAGGUUCUGGACAAUGCCACGUGGCACUACGUGAUUGGUUGAAAAUCUUAUCGAAAUCUUGGCUAAAUUAUUGUAAACCGGAAGUGACACGUGGCGUGUCAGGAUUGGUCGAGAAUAUUAUCGAAAAUCUAUCCACAAAAUAGUACGUUCGGAUAAUGACACGUGGCAUGACGUGAUUGGUUGAAAAUCUUAUCGAAAUCUUGGCUAAAUUAUUGUACCAUGGAAGUGACACGUGGCGUGUCGGGAUUGGUUGAAAAUAAUAUCGGAAAUCUAUUCACAAAAUAGUACGUUCAGAUAAUGACACGUGGCGUGACGAGAUUGGUUAAAAAUCCUAUCCGAAAUUAAAACUAUUUUAUUUUUUUAUUCUUUAUUUUAAAUGGGUUAAAAAUCUUAUCCGAAAUAAACUUAAAAAAAAAACACACCAAAUAAAUGCGCUGGGUGCUAGCGCAUUUUUUUAGGGGUGGAGAUGCCUUGGCCUAUUACUGUUCACUCCAGUCUAUUACUGUUCAUUUGAGUGGAUAAAUGCGCUGGGUGCUGGCGCAAAGUCCACAGGGGUGGAAUUGCUCUAAAGUCUCGUGUUUUGAUGAGAUGUGGUCUACAAAUGAUAUAGCAUGUGCCCUACGAAAAAUGAGAUCGGAUUACCUAUUUGAAGCUUCUCUAGUAUGAAAAAUUCAAGAGGGAUGUGACGGGUCCGGAAAAUAAAAAAUCACACAUUUUUAUUAAUAAUUUUUUUGUUCGAAUUCGGAAAUGUAUAGAACUGAACAAAUGGAAUAGUAGCUCAGUGAUACCAACAAUUUCAUGUUGCAAAUCACAAAACAAAAAAAAAGGAACUGUUUUACACAAAAUUAAUGACAAUUAGAGUUGAACAACAGAAGCUUGCACUUUAAACGGUUUUUUUCUGCUGCUUUUGGUAUGUAUAUGCUUUUUCCAUGUCUCGAUGUAGUGCCAGUUCACAGGUCAUCAUCCUGGAACAAUGCUUUCGAAACAGAGCCGCACGGCUGGCUACUGUAUUCUCGGUAAUCUUCAUCGUCAUCCCAGCUGCGUUGCGAGCAUGAACGUUUGAUUCCUGUCAUUGGGGUUUCACAUACUCUGUCAUCACAUGAACCUCUAUGAUCCUUCCUUUUAAACAGCUUUCGAAGCGGAUUUAACUUUGGUUUCAAUGGUUUCAGCUGUUUUGGGGCCCAAACUCUCUGCAGAUCGGGCAUCCAUCUUGUGGAUGAAGCGAAUCUCCAAGCCCUCUCUCUCCUCUCUUGAGCUUCAAGUAACUUGCGAGCAUGGUCGUCGUUUUGUUUGAUCUCUUCAGCGCUCGGUCUUCCAAUAUCAGUUUUCAGCGGACGAAGAGACUCACCUUCUGCUGAUAAUGAGUCCCAGAUUCUAUAACUUUCAUCCACUUCGACACUCUUUGGUUUUUCUUUACAGGAUUGAUUGCUAUCCUCACUGUUGAGUAAACUAAUAGGGAGUUCUUCCUCAUCGGCAAACAGUAGCAAAUCCAUUUUUGUAUAGAUUUUGUGAACCACAUCUUCAAGUGUCUCACAGUACCUGAAAAUGUCCAAAUUCAAAGAUUAAUCUACCUGCUUAAUUCUCCAUCUCAAACAAAAAUUGAUCACCUGCAUUUGUACAUCAGGAAACUAAAUGCAGGAAUGAAUUAUUUAAGCUCCAUCAUUUCAAGGAUCAUACCGUAGGCUAAUAUGCUAUUGCAGAAGUUGUAUAAACAUAUUCCUCACUCGUUCAGAAAAACAUGCCUACGAUGUGCGGAUAACUGGCUUAUACCCUGUAAAUCUACACUAAUAAGGAAACACACUUAACUCAUCUAAGAUUAUAAAGAUAAUCACUUUCCUUUUUUAGCAUUAUUGCAAAGGUAAGUAGGAGAGCAUUGGAUGGGCAGUAAUAUCCCACAGGAAAGUGGAAACAGUGGCACCGGAAAUGUGUAUUUGAUGAGACAUGAACGGUAGACUGAAUGAGUGUCGAGAAAGCCAUAACGACUCGGUAAAACAUCCAUUAUAUAAAGUAAAGAAUAAUGCGAAAGGCAGGGGUUUUCAACUCUGGUACAGAUUUAUUACCUGCUUUUUAUGAUCCUUUCAACAUAAUCAUCUACACUCCAGUCACCAAAGAAGCCCUCCAGAUGACAUCGAAUUUUCUCCAAAAACGAGCAAAUCUGUUUUACAAACUUCUGUUUCAUAGAUUCUGCAAUACUUGCACCAACCUCUGAUUGUAGUAUCUCCAUACGGAAAAAUAUCUGCAAUUCAUAUCUAGUACUAGGUGAAGGAAAAGUGUAAAUGUAAUUGGAGACAAAUUUUCAUAUUGGUAGAGUUAUAACUGGAUUAAUGCAUAAUACAGAAGACAGUUCAGUUAUAAAUGAGAAAGGAUACUCUCGAACUAUUUUUCCAGAAGUCAGUCCUUCAGAUUCUGAAUCGGAUGCUUUAACAAACGGGCCGGAGCUUUUCUGCCUUGCAGUGAUAUCCUUGGGAUCUCUCAGUAGAAGUUUUAACACCUCAGCAGAAACCAAAUCAUCAGUAGCACCAGAUUUUACAAGGGAAGUUUGACUCUCUGAAAGGGCUUCUGUUUCCUGCUUUUUAUUUAACCAAUAUAUGGAUGAAUUCACAAGCCGAUAUGCCAAUGCCCCCAAGUCUACUGCUUCAUAUUCAAGCCCCUGUUGUAUCUUGUUGGAUAGACUACUGAAAAAAUCUUCCGACGUUUCUGAUCUAAAUUCCAAAGCAGCUUCAUCUUGUAUGCCAGAAGCCACAGUCAAAGAAUUUUCUCCAAUGGAAGGAGAUGAAGAAAUUGGCUGUUCACUUUCAUGGUGCAAGUUAUCCAACCUAUUGUCCAUCCCUUUUCUAUUGAGCUGGUCUGCCUGGGAUUCUUUCUCCACUAUUAGACCACGAUCGCUAGACUUCUUAAUUUGUUUCAUCCAGCAUUUCAGAAAUCGUAUCUUUUUUGAGUUAUAACAUUCCCUGGCAAAGUAAACCUCUUCCAAACCUAUCUCUGAGUGUUCAAAUGCUGCCUUGUAGAAGGCACUCCAUGUGAGAUCUUGUAGCAACUGUGAAUUUCUUUUGUUAUUUCUCUUCCUUCCCUCCUUGCCUGCAGAAUGCUUAUUGGAUGGCCCAGUUUGGUCCAAAUCAGCAUUCGGUUCGCAAAUCCCAUUCUUCAUAUUUCGACUUGAUUGGUCUGCUUUUGCUCCACCAAUAUCAUGCACUUUUGUCUGAGGGUGAAAUCCUUCAUCCACAAUAAACAGCCGAGCCGAAGAAACUGUGAAAGGUUUGAGAAUUCCGGUAGACGAUACACCACUGUCACUUGAAAGAGACACUAAUGCUCCAUGACCAUUCCUAUAUAAGAAACUCAAGAGAAUCUGCCAAAUGGGUGCUGACUUUCUCUUUGCAUUCUCACCCAAGUCCACUGCUACCACUUCUAGAACCUUAUCUGCAUAAUAAUUGCCAGAACUUUCUUUUCCAUCUUCACCAGGUUUUCCCAAAACAUCACAGACAAGGACUGGAUCAGAUAAGUGCCCCUUGAAUUUCAGAAACUCAUUGUACUUUUGCAAAGCCUUAACCUGGAACUUUGUCACGCCUUUGACAAAAUACCCCCAGAACAAUUCCUUCAGUUUACCACCCUUUGUUUGUGAAUUCAUGAUUUCUAGGGAAAAGAAAGCAUCAUCAGCUGCAUUUCUAGGCAACUUCUUCAAAUCAACCAAUUGAAGAUCACAAACCUUGCAUUCCAAAGGCUUCCCACUUACAUCUAAGAUCUCGAGACUCAACUGCGCAUUGACUUUCUUAUGACUAUCAUCACAACCGAAAAACUUGGAUGAAAUCCCUAUCUCGGGAUAAAUCAAACCAAAGGAAACAAGAGCAGAGCCAAGAAUAAUCCAACCAGUCGAGCAAAAUCCCCAUCCCAAACUCCUAACCCCACUCUCGAAAAACCCAAAUCUCGUCUUAUCCUCAUCGUUCCCAACCUUACCCUCACCACAUUCUAAUUCAUACCUGACAUCAACCCAGCUACACUGAAUAUCUCUACUCACAAAUGCUUCAUUCACAUUCUCAAAGAAACCCCUAAAUCUCUCGGAAAACGCUUUCACAUUUUCCAAAGACUCGUCACCCACACCCACUGUUAGGUCACAACUUCUAAAUUCCCUUUCUCGACCUGCUAGUAGCUGAUAGUAAUGGCGGUGAGUGAGUGGGAAGGAAGAUAGAGAGAGAUAGAAAGUUUCUUGUAAUAUUGUUUUUCUAAUUCAAUCCUGCAGAACAAUGCCACAAUUUGGUUCUUAUACAACCAUCCUUCUCACAAUGCCAGCUGGCUACUAACAAUAACGACAUGUAGCUAAAUAGUUUUCCACUAUUAUUCUAACCACUAUUAUAAUCAUAACACUACCCCUCCCUUACAAAAUAAACCUUGUCCUCAAGGUUAGAAUUAAAGACUGAAAUCAGGAAAUCUGGCAGCAAACUCGUCAUAAUCCUCCCAUGUAGUUUCGUCCUCUUUGUUGUUCUUCCACUGGAUUAACAACUGAACUCCAGCAGCUUGGCCCUUCUUGUAGACCCUCAUUUGUAGCACCUUGAGUGGUUCGAGUGGUAGCAACCCAUCAUCAGUGACAGUAGGCAAGAAUGGAGUUAUGUGACCUUGUCUCCCAAGUGCUUCUUCAAGCAACUAACAUGAAAGACUGGAUGAAUUUUUGAAUUCUCAGGCAGUUUCAAUCGGUAGGCAACCUUCCCAAUAUUUUCCAAAACCUCAUAAGGACCAUAGUACCGGGGAUGAAGCUUAUGGUAAGCAUGAGAUGACAAAGAUUGCAAUUGAUAGGGAAUUAAUUUCAAAUACACCAAAUCUCCUUCCUCGAAAACCCUCUCACUCCGAUGCUUAUCUGCUUGUGUUUUCAUCCGGUUCUGAGCUACUAGUAAAUUGGUCCUGAGCAUUGCUAAUAUUUUGUCCCUAGUUAGCAGCCCUUGCUCCACUAUAUCCAACUUAGCAGUGCCAAGCUCAUAAGACGCGAUGUGUGGUGGUGGAUAACCAUAGACCACUUCGAAGGGGGUGAACUUUGAGGAAGUGUGGUAGGAAGUGUUAUAGCUCCAUUCUGCCCAUGGAAGCCAGUGGAGCCACUUCUUAGGUUGACAGCUAGUGAAGCAUCGCAAGUAAGUUUCAAGGCACCGAUUCACCACCUCUGUCUGGCCAUCACUCUGUGGAUGGUAACCCGAGCUCAUACACAACUUGGAGCCUUGCAACUUAAAAAAAUUCUUUCCAAAAAACACUCAUGAAAAUGGUGUCCCUGUCACUCACAAUGGUAGAGGGCAUCCCAUGGAGUUUAAACACAUUAUCAACAUAUUCCUGAGCUACCAUGCUUGCCGUAUACGGAUGUGCUAAGGGGAUGAAAUGAGCAUACUUGGACAGCCUGUCUACGAUUACCAGGAUCACUGAUUUGCCUUUGCACAGAGGUAAACCAGUGAUGAAAUCCAUGCUUAUAUCCUUCCAUACAUGUGUAGGGAUCGGCAGAGGUUGAAGUAAUCCGGGAGGGGAAAUGGUUUCAUACUUAUUUUGCUGGCAUUCCCGACAUUCAGCCACCCAUGACCUGAGAUCUUUCUUCAUUCCUACCCAAUAGAAGCCCCUCUUCAAUAUCUGAUAAGUCUUUAGAACCCCUUUCAUGGCCUGCACUUGGAGAAGAGUGAUGUUCCUCAAAGACCUUCCUUUUCCAACUUGAAUCUGGGCUAAGCACGAUCCGUCCUUUGUAUUUGAGGAAACCGUUGUCUAAAUGGUACUUGGACAGAUUGGGGUCAAUUGCAGCAGCUUAAGAAUAUGCUAACACCUUCUGCACCUUGCUUUGAAUCCAACUAUCUUGUUCUAACCCUCUCCGAAGUUCAUCUAGCCACCCGAAGUAGGGGUAUGUGAUAGCUUUGCACUCCAAUAAGUCACUGAGAGGUUUCUCUUGUAAUUGAGACGAACCAACUACUCGAGAUAAGGCAUCAGCCAUUAUGUUGUCAUUGCCUUGCCUAUAUUGUAUCUCAUAAUCAAAUCCCAACAACUUGGCCACCCAUUUCUGUUGGAACGGGGUAGUAGUUCUUUGACUCAGAAAGUAUUUCAAGCUGCUAUGAUCUGUCUUUAUGAUGAAAUGGCGCCCUUGAAGGUAGUUUUGCCAUUUUUUGAUAGCACUAACAAUGGCAAUCAACUCUCUUUCGUAUGUAGACAAUGCUUAAUUCCGUGGUCCCAAUGCUUGACUUGUGAAAGCUAUAGGUCUGCCAUUCUGUUGCAACACAGCCCCUAUUCCAUUGCCAGAUGCAUCACAUUCCAAAGUGAAGGGAAUAGCAAAAUUGGGUAAGGCUAAUAGCUGCGGAGAAGUCAUUGUUCUUUUUAAUGCUUGGAAAGCUGCCGUGGCUUCAGGGGACCAAUUGAAACCAUCAUUUUUUGUUAGUUGAUACAAGGGUUGACACACCUUGCCAUAACCGGGGAUGAAUUUUCUAUAAUACCCUGAGAGCCCGAGAAAUCCCCUCAACUCUUUGACAUUUUUCGGUAUCGGCCAAUCUAUAAUUGCUUGAAUUUUAGUAGGAUCUGCAGCCACCCCAUCACGAGAGACGAUGUGCCCCAAGUAUUCCACCUGUGAUUGGCCAAAAGAGCAUUUCGAUUUCUUCACUGCUAAUUGGUGUUUCUGUAAUAACUCCAAAGUUUGGUGCAAGUGUGAAAGAUGGUCCUCCCAGGUCUUGCUGUACACCAAAAUGUCGUCAAAGAACACCAAGAUGAAUUUCCGGAGGUAAGGCUUAAAAAUGUCAUUCAUAAGGGCUUGGAAAGUGGCAGGAGCAUUUGUAAGACCAAAGGGCAUGACUAAGAAUUCAUAAUGCCCUUGGUGAGUUCGGAAGGCAGUCUUUUCCACAUCGGAGGGACAUACGGAUCUGAUGAUAUCCAGACCUAAGAUCAAGCUUAGAAAAAUACUGAGCGCCAUGCAAUUCAUCUAACAAAUCAUCCACUAAUGGAAUAGGAUAUUUAUCCUUAAUGGUAAUGCUGUUCAAUUCACGAUAGUCCAUGCAAAGCCUCCAAGUGCCCUCCUUCUUCUUGACCAAGAGAACUGGAAAUGAAAAGGGACUAUGACUUGGCUGGAUGAAUCCAGCAUCUAAAAGUUCUUGCACAGCUCGUUCAAUCUCAGUUUUUUGCAUAGGACCAUAAUGGUAUGGUCUAAUACUCGGAGGCUUGGAACCAGGAAGCAAUGGAAUCUGGUGAUCAUGAGCCCGUGGAGGUGGUAAGGUAGUAGGAGGCUUAAAAACCGUUUCAAAUUGCCUGAGCAUACCCUGCAGCUCAAUGAGUUGCUGGGGAUUCAAGUUGGAUGCCUCCAACGGAUUAGUUUCCAUUGAAUACAAUAAGACGCCCCAAUUAGAGUAUUUAAACUCUUUUUCAAGCUGUUGACAAACAGUAUCCUGUACCAAGUACGCUGGAGCAGUGGAAUGAACAAGUUUAUAGUGGUCUUUUCCCACAGAAAAUUCCAUGGUUAAGUUGUGAAAAUCCCACAAAACUGGACUCACAGAUGAGAGCCAUUUCACACCCAAUACAACAUCGCAACCCCCUAGAGGAAGUGCGUAGAGGUUAGUGUGGCAGCGAUAUGCACCCAAUUCCAAGGGAAUUUGUUGGCAACAGCCUUGACUUCGGACUUUACCCCCAUCGGCAAUCAUGACAUCGAAGGGUUUGGUGGUGUGACAAGGCCACCCGAGCUGCUUAAGCAACCUAGAAUCCACAAAAUUGUGGGUGCUACCAGAGUCAAGUAGUAUGGUAACAGGUAGAGUGUGAAGCACACCAGCCACUUUCAUGGUUUGUACCGUGGAGGGCUCAGUAGUGCCAUAGAACGCACAAGCACUCAACUCCAUGCUUGAUAGGGAAAGAUCAAUAGGCUCCAGUAAUUCACACUCUGUAGGUUCCAGCAAUUCACACUCGGUAGGCUCCAACUCAUUACAAACAUCAAGCAUAAGGAGCUGUUUAUUAUGGACACAUUUGUGCCCUCGAACCCACUUUUCAUUACAGAACCAACACUCGCCCUUGUCCUUCUUCCGUUGAACUUCCUCGGGGGUAAGUUUCUUAUAAGGGAGGGUUUGAGGAUGAGGCCUGGUAAGGGAAGGUAGAGGUAAGGCGAGAGGAGGUUUGAGUGGGGGAUGAGGUUUUGGGGGAGAUGGUUUCAAGUCCGUGAGUUUAGCAUUUAAUUGGGCAGCAAAGGAAAUGGCCUCAUGAACUGAGGAAGGGCGAAGCAAUUUAACAUCGUAACGCAAUUCCUUCUUGAGACCCCCCAGAAAGCAACUCUUUAAGAGAAUAGGACCAACAUCAUAGGUUCGAGUGGCAAGGCGCCGAAAUUCCACAAUAUAAUCACGAAGAGGGCCGGUUUGGCGGAGUUUGAAUAGCGACUCAGUGCAGUCCUCAAACUCCGGUGGACCAAAUUCCUGGCACAAAGCAGUCGUGAAUUCACCCCAGGUGGGAGUGGAAUGUACACAAUCGCGCCAACGAAACCAGUACAGCGGCUCAUUCUUGAAGUGGAAGGAGGCGGUCAAAACCUUCUGAUUCUCCGGAGUGUGAUAAUAAGCAAAAUAUUGUUCGGCCUUAUAGAUCCACGCUGAGGGAUCAUCACCGUCGGAGAAACGGGGAAAAUCCAGACGAUGUGACCGCUGCGGGCGAGGAGUAAAACCGCCGCCUUCAAAAGAAUCACGGCGCUGAAACCGUGGAGUGUCGAGACAACGAAAAUCGCCAUCAUCGGUCACAAUGGGAGGAGGAAUAUGUGGAUCUGGCACUAGAGGUGGUGGUGCAGUCGAAGAGCCAGCACCGCCUUGAGGACCAGGGUCGCGAUGGAGAUGCUCCAGGAGAAGGGCGAAUUUGGUUUCGAGAGCGGUGAAGCGGGUGUCGGAAUUGGCGUUGGAAGUCUGGAUCAGCUGAGGAAUGGCUCCCAUGGCUUCCAGAGUAGCUUCCACGGCGGAGAGGCGCGAUUCAACAGUGGACAUUCGAGAAUUUGUGGUGUGGCGGGGCAUACAAGAGGGAGACUCAGGAUCGAGAGGCUGAUACCAAUUGUUAGGUCAAAACUUCUAAAUUCCCUUUCUCGACCUGCUAGUAGCUGAUAGUAAUGGCGGUGAGUGAGUGGGAAGGAAAAUAGAGAGAGAUAGAAAGUUUCUUGUAAUAUUGUUUUUCUAAUUCAAUCCUGCAGAACAAUGCCACAAUUUGGUUCUUAUACAACCAUCCUUCUCACAAUGCCAGCUGGCUACUAACAAUAACGACAUGUAGCUAAAUAGUUUUCCACUAUUAUUCUAACCACUAUUAUAAUCAUAACACCCACAUUCGGGAAUUCUGUCAAACAGUUUGCAGACACACAGACGGGCGAAAACAGAACUACCAAAUUAGACCUCACAGCAACCGAAUCACUAUUCGAGAACAUACCCAUCAUUGGAUCGCAGAUCACGGGGUCCCAGGCGUAGUCGUGCACGAGCUGGCGCAAGGAGACGGCGAAAUGCGGGGAGGGAAUUGAGGGUGUGGAAGAGGGAAUUGAAAGUGGGGCCGGGGAGGUGGAAAGAGAGGGAGAGAGAAGUGGGGAGCUUGGAGGAGGAGAGCAGCGGAGAGAGGGAGGAGAAGAAGGGUCUGAAGGCGAAGAGAGAGGCGGAGAGAAGAAGGAAGGAGAGGAUGGUUUUGACGGCGGCGAGGAGGGCGGUGAGAAAUGGAGCUGGGUUUUGGAGGUGGAGGAAUGGGUUGAGGUCUAGGAGGAGGACGAUGCGCACAGUGCCUGCCUAUCAUGUAAAACCAUUGACAAUGAUACAAGACAGUUUAUUUGGACCUAUAAAACUAUAUUUAUGUAAAACUAUAUUUUAUUCAAUUUCAAAAAUUAGUACAUGCAAUGACAUGUUUGAUCGUAAAAAAAAAAAAAAUGAGAAAUUUUCAGUGUAUCAGAAAUACGAAUCGGUAAAAAAUCUCUCCAAAAAUACAUAUGCAUGUUUUAUUCAAAAGGAAAGGAAUGAGGCGCCAUCAUCCCUAACACACUUUAUUACAAGUAGUAUCAUCCAUUGAGGCAGAGAAGUUAAUUAGAUGCUGUCCUUAAUGGAUGCACUAUAACCGUUGUCAUAGAACCUGUUCCAAAGCAUAACUCCUCCGUACUUGGCCGAAUUCUUAAUUGUUGGAAGGACUUGUGACUUGAGAGCAUCAGCAGGAAUAAAUCCGCUGCGCGCGGCAUCAGUAGACGCCGGUAUCCCCAAGAACACCUGGGUGGCCGAAACCGAGGCCCAUCGGUUCCAACUGCUCAAAAGAGCGUCGGCAUUACCGUCUGCAUACUGGCAUUGGGCUAGGGGGUUGUUGUAGAACUGAACCCAAACGUAGUCAAAUAAACCGGUUGGAUAGCGCCGUCUAGGUGAGUAUCCGGGAACGGGCAUUGUGGAGCUGCGGCUAAAUAGACCGUUUUUCCCUGUCCGUUGUGUCCUUUGAGUGACCUGGCGAGCUCGUCGUAGAACUGCGUACCACCCAACUCAAUGUCGAAAUCGACGCCGUCCAAAACCGCGUCCCCAAGCGGGCGCGAAUCUGACUGACCACCUAGGAAGUUGUUCCAGAUGUAAUCAGCAACUUGCCUUGCCUCAUCAGCUGAAGUGAGAGAGUAAGUUUCGGUGGCCCCUCCAAUCGAGAGGAGGACUUUUAUGUUUUUUGAUUGGCAGGUUCUGAUGUCGGCACUCUGCCCCGUGCAAGUACCACUAGCGGGGUUGCAGUGGCCGGCGAGGUUUAGGACAGGGGCUUGGUUGUUUCCAAAAGUUGAGAGGAAAGCUAUGUUAACAAACUGGUAGUUGCCCGAGUUGCAAGCUUCUGCUAGGGUUCCUUCGUUGCCGUUUUGGCCCCAAUACGUCGCGAUUCCGGCGGCUUGGGAGGACUUGCAUGAAGAAAUGAGGAUCAAGAGGGACAGAGUUAGGGCUAGGGUUUGUGUUUUGGAUGCCAUUUUUGUAUGUGUUUUUUUGGGUUGUUGCUCAAAGUGCUUGGGAGGGGACAUGUAAUUAUAGGUGCAGGAGACUUACUGGUUAAGGUUUGGGGGAAGAAAAGUAUGACAGACGUGUUCUGCAGGUAAGAAAUGGGUGCCAGUCUUCCUCUUGCAACCGCGUCAAUCGAGUUAGCUGGGGCCUGUUUAGUCCAAGUCUUCCAUAAAACGCCGAUUAAGUUAGGUUGUGUUGAAAAUGCUUUCUUCAAAAAACACUUACACACGUAAGCGCUUC